rnacentral:tRNA from 1 species
CACCGCGCUGGAGCAUGGUUCGAGUCCAUCCGUCCUUGAGGCGGUAAACGGCCCCUCUCGCGGCAACGCAGGUUCGAAUCCUGUCGUGAUCAC